UGGGGAAUAUUGGAUAAUGGGCGCAAGCCUGAUCCAGCCAUGCCGCGUGAGUGACGAAGGCCCUAGGGUUGUAAAGCUCUUUUGGCAGGGACGAUAAUGACGGUACCUGCAGAAUAAGCCCCGGCUAACUUCGUGCCAGCAGCCGCGGUAAUACGAAGGGGGCUAGCGUUGUUCGGAAUUACUGGGCGUAAAGCGCGCGUAGGCGGACUGGUCAGUUGGGGGUGAAAUCCCGGGGCUCAACCUCGGAACUGCCUUCAAUACUGCCAGUCUCGAGUCCGGAAGAGGUGAGUGGAAUUCCUAGUGUAGAGGUGAAAUUCGUAGAUAUUGGGAAGAACACCGGUGGCGAAGGCGGCUCUCUGGCCCGGUACUGACGCUGAGGUGCGACAGCGUGGGGGAGCAAACAGGAUUAGAUACCCCCGUAG
rnacentral:rRNA from 1 species